rnacentral:lncRNA from 1 species
UAAUUAGGGAAAUAAAAUCAUAGAUAGCCGUAUUUUCUCGGACAGGCGACGACGUGUGUGACGGCUUUUCAGGAGUCUGACGACUUAUCAGAAAUGUCGUCAGCUCCUCUUUACUUUUGACAAUCUCUGCCUUAGGUUGACGAUGAGACGUGGUGGCUUAUCAGACAUGUGAUGACUUAUCAGAAUUGUCAUCGCUUCUUUACUUCAAA